rnacentral:rRNA from 1 species
CUGAACCAGCCAAGUACCGUGAAGGAUGAAGGCUCUAUGGGUCGUAAACUUCUUUUAUAUAAGAAUAAAGUGCAGUAUGUAUACUGUUUUGUAUGUAUUAUAUGAAUAAGGAUCGGCUAACUCCGUGCCAGCAGCCGCGGUAAUACGGAGGAUCCGAGCGUUAUCCGGAUUUAUUGGGUUUAAAGGGAGCGUAGGUGGACUGGUAAGUCAGUUGUGAAAGUUUGCGG